rnacentral:rRNA from 1 species
GAUGAACGCUGGCGGCGUGCUUAACACAUGCAAGUCGAGCGAGAAGUUUUGAAAAGAUUCUUCGGAUGAAAUUUAAAAUGGAAAGCGGCGGACGGGUGAGUAACGCGUAGGCAACCUGCCCCAUACAAAGGGAUAGCAUUUGGAAACGAAUAUUAAUACCUUAUGAAACUUAACUAGUGCAUGCUAGGUAGGUCAAAGAUUUAUCGGUAUGGGAUGGGCCUGCGUCUGAUUAGCUAGUUGGUGAGGUAACGGCUCACCAAGGCGACGAUCAGUAGCCGACCUGAGAGGGUGAACGGCCACAUUGGAACUGAGACACGGUCCAAACUCCUACGGGAGGCAGCAGUGGGGAAUAUUGCACAAUGGGGGAAACCCUGAUGCAGCAACGCCGCGUGAACGAUGAAGGCCUUUGGGUCGUAAAGUUCUGUUCUAGGUGAUGAAAACUGACAGUAAACCUAGGAGA